rnacentral:rRNA from 1 species
AUACGUAGGGGGCGAGCGUUGUCCGGAAUUACUGGGCGUAAAGGGUGCGUAGGCGGCCUGAGAAGUCAUGUGUGAAAUACCUGGGCUCAACCUGGGUGUUGCACAUGAAACUGGCGGGCUUGAGUGCAGGAGAGGGAAGUGGAAUUCCUAGUGUAGCGGUGAAAUGCGUAGAGAUUAGGAGGAACACCAGUGGCGAAGGCGGCUUCCUGGCCUGUAACUGACGCUGAGGCACGAAAGCGUGGGGAGCAAACAGGAUUAGAUACCCUGGUAGUCCACGCCGUAAACGAUGGAUACUAGGUGUAGGUGCUGAUUGAGGCAUCUGUGCCGUAGUUAACGCAAUAAGUAUCCCGCCUGGGGAGUACGGCCGCAAGGCUGAA